rnacentral:rRNA from 1 species
CCUACGGGGGGCUGCAGUGAGGAAUAUUGGACAAUGGGCGCAAGCCUGAUCCAGCCAUGCCGCGUGCAGGAUGACGGUCCUAUGGAUUGUAAACUGCUUUUGCACAGGAAGAAACAACUCUACGUGUAGAGUCUUGACGGUACUGUGAGAAUAAGGAUCGGCUAACUCCGUGCCAGCAGCCGCGGUAAUACGGAGGAUCCAAGCGUUAUCCGGAAUCAUUGGGUUUAAAGGGUCCGUAGGCGGUUUAAUAAGUCAGUGGUGAAAGCCCAUCGCUCAACGGUGGAACGGCCAUUGAUACUGUUAAACUUGAAUUAUUAGGAAGUAACUAGAAUAUGUAGUGUAGCGGUGAAAUGCUUAGAGAUUACAUGGAAUACCAAUUGCGAAGGCAGGUUACUACUAAUGGAUUGACGCUGAUGGACGAAAGCGUGGGUAGCGAACAGGAUUAGAUACCCAUGUAGUC